rnacentral:tRNA from 1 species
GGGGAUUUAGCUCAGUGGUAGAGUGCUUGCCUAGCAAGCAUAAGGCCCUGGGUUUAGUCCUCA